GAAAUGCGAUAAGUAAUGUGAAUUGCAGAAUUCCGUGAAUCAUUAAAUCUUUGAACGCACAUUGCACUCUUUGGUAUUCCGAAGAGUAUGUUUGUUUGAGAAUCAGUAAAUCAUCAAAAUCUAAAUUUUUUUUUUAAAAAAAGGAUUUAUUUUUUUGGAUUUGAGACUUUUCUAAAUUUUUUAAUUAAAAUUUUGGAAUGACUUGUAAAUUAUUUGUUGACUUUAUUGACAACCAAAAAGCAUGACCAAUAGGACUUUUUUAAGUUCUUUGAUUGUUUUUAAUGGAAGUUAAAUUAAAAGAGUAACAUAAAAAAAAUUAUAACACAAAAAAAAUUUUUUAAUUUUUUUUAAGACUAGAUCUCAAAUCAAAUAAGACUACCCGCUGAACUUAA
rnacentral:misc_RNA from 1 species